rnacentral:rRNA from 1 species
UCGACGGGGCUGAUUCACCGCGGCCCGGCGUGGGCGGCGGGCGGUAGCGGCGACGACGAUGCCACGGUGUCGACGCGCCCUCCGCUCGCUUCGCCCGCGUCGGACGCGUGCACUUCAGCCCCGGUCGGUACGUCGCGAUCCGCCGGGAGCCGGCCUACGGACUGCGGAGGAGCCAACGCGAGCACGCCUCGCGGUGACCCGCGGAUUCCCGGCCGGCGCCCGGCGGCACAAAACGAUGGCGAGGGGCCGCCGCAAGGCGUCCGGCCCGUGGCAAGCGCGCUCGUAGCGCCGGCGUCCGGACCUGGUGCCGGACCCGGCCGCGGGCGGCUGUUCGCCGCGGAGUCCCCGGACGGAGCCCUCAGCCGAUCAGCGACGCCGCAGCUUCGGGCACCCUCGGGACCCGUCUUGAAACACGGACCAAGGAGUCUAGCAUGCGCGCGAGCCGACGGGACGCGCAACAGCGAAACCCGGAGGCGCAGUGAACGCGAAGGGCCGCCUGGCGCGGCCCGAGGGAGGACGGGCGUUCCCGCGGGAACGCCCCGCACUCCCGGGGCGGCUCGUUCUCAUCACGAGAGGAGACGCACCGAGAGCGCGCACGCUGGGACCCGAAAGAUGGUGAACUAUGCCCGGCCAGGACGAAGCCAGGGGAAACCCUGGUGGAGGUCCGUAGCGAUUCUGACGUGCAAAUCGAUCGUCGGAGCUGGGUAUAGGGGCGAAAGACUAAUCGAACUGUCUAGUAGCUGGUUCCCCCCGAAGUUUCCCUCAGGAUAGCUGGCGCCCGCGCCCCACGAGUCUCAUCCGGUAAAGCGAAUGAUUAGAGGCAUCGGGGCCGAAACGGCCUCGACCUAUUCUCAAACUUUAAAUGGGUGAGAGCCCCGGCCCGCUCGAACAGUGGGGCCGGGGUCCAGUGCGGAUCGGGGCGCCAAGUGGGCCAUUUUUGGUAAGCAGAACUGGCGCUGCGGGAUGAACCGAACGCCGGGUUAAAGCGCCCAAGUCGACGCUCAUGGGACACCAUGAAAGGCGUUGGUAACUUAGGACAGCAGGUCGGUGGCCAUGGAAGUCGGAAUCCGCCAAGGAGUGUGUAACAACUCACCUGCCGAAGUUACUAGCCCUGAAAAUGGAUGGCGCUGAAGCGUCGCGCUCAUACCCGGCCGUCGGCGGCAUGUGCGCGCGCGGUCGUCCCUCGGGGCGGCCGUGCGCAUGAAGCCCCGACGAGUAGGGGGGUCGCGGCGGCGAGCGCAGAAGGGCCGGCCGUGGGGCCGCCUGGAGCCGCCGCCGGUGCAGAUCUUGGUGGUAGUAGCAAAUACUCCAGCGAGGCCCUGGAGGACUGACGUGGAGAAGGGUUUCGUGUGAACAGCCGUUGCACACGAGUCAGUCGAUCCUAAGCCCUAGGCGAGAGCCGACGUCGAUGCGGCGCCGUACACGCGUCACGCGAGUGCGCGCCGGCCGGCGCUCGGGCCGUGGCGUUUAACCGCGCCCGGUUUGCAGCGCCGCCGUGCAGCGCUCAGCUCGCACGCUGGACAGCACGCGCCCGACGGGCGAAAGGGAAUCCGGUUCCUAUUCCGGAACCCGGCAGCGGAACCGUCUACCGUUCGGGCCCUCGCAAGAGAGCUCGUCGGGGUAACCCAACAGGACCCGGAGACGCCGUCGGGAGGUCCGGGAAGAGUUUUCUUUUCUGCAUGAGCGCUCGAGUUCCAUGGAAUCCUCCAGCAGGGAGAUAUGGUUUGGAGCGCGAAGAGCACCGCAGUUGCGGCGGUGUCCGGACCGUCCCCUCGGACCUUGAAAAUCCGGGAGAGGGCCACGUGGAGGCGUCGCGCCGGUUCGUACCCAUAUCCGCAGC